UUAGGUUUAGGUUUAGGGAUUAGAGUUAGGGUAAAGCAUUAGGGUUAGGGUUAAGGUUAGGGUUAGUGUUAUGGUUACGGUUAGGGUUAGGGUUA